UGGGGAAUUUUGGACAAUGGGCGAAAGCCUGAUCCAGCAAUGCCGCGUGUGUGAAGAAGGCCUUCGGGUUGUAAAGCGCUUUUGUCCGGAAAGAAAUCCUUGGCUCUAAUACAGUCGGGGGAAUGACGGUACCGGAAGAAUAAGCACCGGCUAACUACGUGCCAGCAGCCGCGGUAAUACGUAGGGUGCAAGCGUUAAUCGGAAUUACUGGGCGUAAAGCGUGCGCAGGCGGUUUGCUAAGACCGAUGUGAAAUCCCCGGGCUCAACCUGGGAACUGCAUUGGUGACUGGCAGGCUAGAGUAUGGCAGAGGGGGGUAGAAUUCCACGUGUAGCAGUGAAAUGCGUAGAGAUGUGGAGGAAUACCGAUGGCGAAGGCAGCCCCCUGGGCCAAUACUGACGCUCAUGCACGAAAGCGUGGGGAGCAAACAGGAUUAGAUACCCUGGUAGUCCACGCCCUAAAACGAUGUCAACUAGUUGUUGGGGGAUUCAUUUCCUUAGUAACGUAGCUAACGCGUGAAGUUGACCGCCUGGGGAGUACGGUCGCAAGAUUAAAACUCAAAUGAAUUGACGGGGUCAUAGCUGUUUCCU
rnacentral:rRNA from 1 species